CACGUAUUUAGCCGUCCCUUUCUGGUAUGGUACCGUCAAACUAAAAUCAUUCCCUAUUCUAGCUGUUCUUCCCAUACAACAGUGCUUUACGACCCGAAAGCCUUCAUCACACACGCGGCGUUGCUCCAUCAGGCUUUCGCCCAUUGUGGAAGAUUCCCUACUGCAGCCUCCCGUAGGAGUUUGGGCCGUGUCUCAGUCCCAAUGUGGCCGAUCAGUCUCUCAACUCGGCUAUGCAUCAUUGUCUUGGUAGGCCUUUACCCCACCAACUAACUAAUGCACCGCGGAUCCAUCUCUAGGUGACGCCAAAGCGCCUUUUAACUUCGUAUCAUGCGACACUAAGUUUCAUUCGGUAUUAGCAUCUGUUUCCAAAUGUUAUCCCCAGCCUUGAGGCAGGUUGUCCACGUGUUACUCACCCGUUCGCCACUCACUUGAAAGGUGCAAGCACCUUUCGCUGUGCGUUCGACUUGCAUGUAUUAGGCACGCCGCCAGCGUUCAUC
rnacentral:rRNA from 1 species